rnacentral:rRNA from 1 species
GACGUAGGGCGCGAGCGUUGUCCGGAUUUAUUGGGCGUAAAGAGCUCGUAGGCGGCUCGUUGCGUCGGCUGUGAAAACCCGCAGCUCAACUGUGGGCUUGCAGCUGAUACGGGCGGGCUGGAGUUCGGUAGGGGAGACUGGAAUUCCUGGUGUAGCGGUGAAAUGCGCAGAUAUCAGGAGGAACACCGGUGGCGAAGGCGGGUCUCUGGGCAGUAACUGACGCUGAGAAGCGAAAGCGUGGGGAGCGAACAGG